CCUACGGGUGGCAGCAGUGAGGAAUAUUGGUCAAUGGGCGUAAGCCUGAACCAGCAAAGUCGCGUGAGGGAUGAAGGUUCUAUGGAUGGAAAACAUCUUUUAAGAGGGAAUAAAGUGUGGGACGGGUCCUGUUUUGUAUGUACCUUAUGAAUAAGGAACGGCUAACUCCGUGACAGCAGCCGCGGUACUACGGUGGAUCCGAGCGUUAUCCGGAUUGAUUGGGUUUAAAGGGUGCGUAGGCGGCCUUUGAAGUCAGCGGUGAAAGUCUGUGGCUCAAACUUAGAAUUGCCGUGGAAACUGGCGGGCUCGAGUUUGUGUGAGGCAGGCGGAAUGCGAGGUGUAGCGGUGAAAUGCGUAGAUAUAACGCAGAACCCCGAUUGCGAAGGCAGCCAGCCAAGCCAUGACUGACGCUGAGGCACGAAAGCGUGGGGAUCAAACAGGAUUAGAUACCCGAGUAGUC
rnacentral:rRNA from 1 species